GCACAUUUCAUUUUGGAUUAAUAAAAUAACAAAAUAUUAACAGAUGGUAAAUUAACUACUUAAGGUAUGCAGACAGGCCAUAAACGACCAGGGCAAAAUUUUUACAUAGGAAAAAGUGUAAAAAAUCACCUUGGCAUCUUCAUUUACACGAUGAUUAACUUUUUCCCUCUUCCAACACACUGAAUUAGACACUGAAGACACAACAAUAGAGUGCUUCAUUUCAGAUUCUUGGAGUUGAGUUAAAAUGCUGCCACUGUUGGAGAUUGAAUCCAGUAGGCGUGAAUCAAUAAGUGCUGUAAGACUCUAUAAUGAAAACAUAAAAAAUAUCAAUACACAAUCUAAUCACAUACUGUAAAA